rnacentral:misc_RNA from 1 species
UCCCUAUAGAAGAAUAAGUCCACCUGUUUAUGGAAAAGAAAUAAAUGACAACAUAAUAAUCCUAAAAAGUAAGGAAUUGUUGCAACCAACUUAUACUAACAAUUCAGCAAGAAGCGUAUAAAAGCUCAACACAAAGAUUACACUUUAAUGAGAUUAAGGGAAAAUCAUACAACUCCUUCACAACCAUGUGCAUACAAAUAACGUGUUUGUAAAAACUAGCAAUCAGAAGAGUGCACCACAAAAAUUGGAGCCAUUAAACACAAAACAGUUAUCUGAUAAUAUGAAGGUACCAUAACAUCCCACUUGUGCCCUUGCGGAAUAGUGCCUCGCAUCUGCAGAACCAUUCUUGC